rnacentral:rRNA from 1 species
GACAGAGGGUGCAAGCGUUAUCCGGAAUUAUUGGGCGUAAAGAGCUCGUAGGCGGUUUGUCGCGUCUGCUGUGAAAACCCGAGGCUCAACCUCGGGCCUGCAGUGGGUACGGGCAGACUAGAGUGCGGUAGGGGAGAUUGGAAUUCCUGGUGUAGCGGUGGAAUGCGCAGAUAUCAGGAGGAACACCAAAUGGCGAAGGCAGAUCUCUGGGCCGUAACUGACGCUGAGGAGCGAAAGCAUGGGGAGCGAACAGG